GACGAACGCUGGCGGCGUGCUUAACACAUGCAAGUCGAACGGAAAGGCCCCUUUGGGGGUACUCGAGUGGCGAACGGGUGAGUAACACGUGAGUAACCUGCCCUUGACUUCGGGAUAACUUCAGGAAACUGGGGCUAAUACCGGAUAGGAAUCCUUUCUGCCUGGUGGGGGUUGGAAAGCUUCGGUGGUUUUGGAUGGACUCGCGGCUUAUCAGCUUGUUGGUGGGGUAGUGGCUUACCAAGGCUUUGACGGGUAGCCGGCCUGAGAGGGCGACCGGCCACAUUGGGACUGGGAUACGGCCCAGACUCCUACGGGAGGGAGCAGUGGGGAAUAUUGCACAAUGGGCGGGAGCCUGAUGCAGCAAAGCCGCGUGCGGGAUGACGGGCUUCGGGUUGUAAACCGCUUUCAGCAGGGGCGAAGCUUGUGGUGACGGUACCUGCAGAAGAAGCACCGGCUAACUACGUG
rnacentral:rRNA from 1 species